rnacentral:misc_RNA from 1 species
GAGUUUAAUACAGCUGAAUCUAACUAUGUCUGAAAAUAGCCUCUAAACUAGACUAGAAAUACUGGGACAAGCCCCAGUUUUAUCUAGCAAAAACUGAAACUAAAUGACUAAAGACUGAAAUGAAACUCAUGAUUGUUGUCCUCGGAGAAUGAGGACUCACCACUGAAUCUGCUGAACUGGAGAUCGGAAAAUCGAUCUAUGCGUGAUCUGGAUGGUGAGAACCUGAACCUCAAGCUGGAGUGGAAUCGAAAGGAAAAAGGUAAGCAUACUUG